rnacentral:rRNA from 1 species
CCCUGCCAUUUGUACACACCGCCCGUCGCUACUACCGAUUGAAUGGCUUAGUGAGGUCUUGGGAUUGGCUUUGUGGAGCCGGCAACGGCACCGCGUUGCUGAGAACUUGAUCAAACUUGGUCAUUUAGAGGAAGUAAAAGUCGUAACAAG